rnacentral:rRNA from 1 species
UACGUAGGGGGCAAGCGUUGUCCGGAUUCAUUGGGCGUAAAGAGCGUGUAGGCGGCCUGAAAGGUCAGCUGUGAAAACUCGAGGCUCAACCUCGAGACGUCGGUUGAAACCAUCUGGCUAGAGUCCGGAAGAGGAGUGUGGAAUUCCCGGUGUAGCGGUGAAAUGCGCAGAUAUCGGGAAGAACACCCGUGGCGAAGGCGGCACUCUGGGCUGUUGCUGACGCUGAGGCGCGACAGCGUGGGGAGCAAACAGG